UGCUCUGUCAGCCAGACCGGGGCGAUCUUGGCUCACUUCAACCUCUGCCUCCUGGGAUCAAGCGAUUCUCCGGUCACAGCCUCUUGAGUUGCUGGGAUUACAGACGGGUGCCACCAUGCCCAGCUAAUUUUUGUAUUUUUAGUAGAGACCGGGUUUCGCCAUGUUGCUCAGGCUACUCUCGAACUCCUGGCCUCAGGUAAUCUGUCCGCCUCAGCCUCCCAAAGUGCUGGGAUUACAGGUGUGAGCCACCACACCCGGCUGGAACAAUCUUGAUAUUAGGGUGAACAAGUGAUUUCACAGCAUUCUCCGAAGGAGGAAACACUGGGAGUGUCCACCUGAGAAUCAACACCGUGGAUCAUUCUGGGGAGUUAAUAGUUUUGAGAUGUGUCCCAAGAUAAUUGUUAGCUUGAAUCACCACGUGGAUGGAAGGAUGCUGAUCCUAAGAGCCAGGCCAAGCCUACUGCUGUUAGAAAACAUAUUUAGAAAUCUCUUGGAUCUUCCCUGCCUGAACAUCAUAUAUUUAGUUACCUUGUGUGUUUAGAUGAAGAGUGCUUCAGAUCUCAACAAAAAAAGUAUUUUAUUUGAAA